CUUCUCCUCAGGAAAGGUUUCAAGAAAUCUCCCCCCAUUGUUACCAUACAACAAAAACUUUAUUUGUGCUCUCUGCUGACACCUGAUGCCUGUAUCAGGAACUGUCCAGAACAGGAGAGAAUCCCCAUAGCAAACCUAUGCUGCUCUGGACAGUUCCUGACACGUCUUAAAGCUGCUGAAGAAAAAAGUCCUAUGGAGGACUAGAAACGCGUCCAGCUCCGCUACUAACGCCACAUAUAUCCAGCCUCUAUAUUGGAAUACAGGGAUUGCGCUUAUACGGCAUCCGCUAAGCCUCAGGGAAGGACUCAACCCAUAACGGAGAAGAGUCUGAGGAUGCAAAUGUAUCAGGCCAACCGUAGAAAUCAUAUACAGUAUGAAUUCUUUAAGGCUAUGUUCACACACUGUAAAACAAGCUGCAAAAUUAAAGUCUAUGAAAAUGCGUCUGUCAACGGAAACAUUGAAUAUAAAAUCAUCCACGAUUCCUUGCAGGACAUUAAAAUAAUCAGUUUGUUCAUUAUCUUUGGCCGUAAGAUAAAUGUCCAAAA